CCCCUAGAUGUUCUGGGCCGCACGCGCGCUACACUGAACAGUUCAACAAGUCUUAACCUUGGCCGAUAGGUCUGGGUAAUCUUUGAACGCUGUUCGUGAUUGGGAUAGACCUUUGCAAUUAUGGGUCUUCAACGAGGAAUUCCUAGUAAACGAAAGUCAUCAGCUUGCAUUGAUUACGUCCCUGCCCUUUGUACACACCGCCCGUCGCACCUACCGAUUGAAUGGUCCGGUGAAAUCUCGGGACGGCGGCUUGGUCGCUUGCGUCCGACUGCUGAAACUUGAUUAAACCAUAUCAUUUAGAGGAAGGUGAANUCGUANCA
rnacentral:rRNA from 1 species